rnacentral:rRNA from 1 species
AGAACGAACGCUGGCGGCGUGUUUAAGACAUGCAAGUCGCACGGGACAAGUUGAGUAGUAAUACGAUUCUUGUUUAGUGGCGCACGGGUGAGUAACACGUGAAUUACAUGCCCUAUAGUGGGGAAUAGCCCAGGGAAACUUGGAUUAAUACCCCAUGGUCUCGCAAGAGUAAAGGUGGCCGCAAGGCUGUCGCUAUAGGAUUGGUUCGCGCCCUAGUCAGCUUGUUGGUGAGGUAACGGCUCACCAAGCUACG